CGCCUAACACCGCAGCCUGGCUCCGGCCACAACCAGGCGUCAGGGGUGGCUGACGGGUGACCGCCAUGACUUCACCAAGUGCCAGCCCUGUCGUGGCUGCUGCGCUGCGUGGGCAGUUCUGCGGGAACAGAAUCACUCAGCUUCCGAUCACUCUUACAUGGCCGUGGAUCUGGUGACUGAGAAGCAGUUUUUCUCCACCUGGGACGGACUGUGAGGCCUGUUCACACUCCGCCCAGAGACAAGUUAACUCUCCCUCCUUCACAGCAUCGGCCAGGUGGGACCCUCCGCAUCUUGACCACGGGCGGGACACCACGUUUGUCCACGACACUGAUGGCAUCUCAUUCACUGGACCUGAGGGGUGGAGGGUGCCCAGCGCUCUGUUGCUCUGGUGUAUAGUCCAUAAGACAUUUUUUUUAAAGAAAAGAGAAAUUCAGAGAUGCAGAGCCUGCCAGAGCAGUGAACUUUACAGAGGUCCUGUUCCCUGAGGCCCGCCCAGGCGCACCCUGUGUAGUAAGGCAGCUGCCACCACCCCUACAACACCCACCACGAAGAAAGAGGCCCACGUCCAGGUACGCACCCUUGGGUCAUGGAAGCGGCACGUACCCUGCCUGAGAAUGCGGGUGGCCGCUCCGGGGACCGAGAAGCUUGCGGGUCUGAGGGCAGCCCGCGGGAGGACGGGGCUCUGCAGCAGCUUGGGGCUGCAGCCCGAGGACCCCGCGGCCACAGCGGCGCAAUCCGCCAGAUCCCGUGGUGCCACGAGUGUCUGCGUGUGCCUGGAGGCUGUGCCAAUCCUCUGCCGAGCCCCAGGGGCAGAGUCUGUGGGUUCAUGUCCUCACACCCACCACCUGCAACAGAGAGCUGGAUGCCACUUAAAAAUUGCUCCUGACAGGCCCCUGGUCCCCAAUGAGACACUGAAUGACUCACAGAGACAUCGUGUCCGAGCAACUGGAACUUUCCGGGAUGAGCUAGCUGGGUGUUGUCAUUCCCACUGCUGGAUGAGUGUGGCAAGCCGGGGGCCAGGGACAGAUGCAGAAGACAAGGUGAGUCGCACAAAGACAGCCCCUCCGGACCUGGCCCUGUCACAGGGACACCUCUCCCUCUACAGCUUGCUGGCCUGGAUCGUGCCUGGGCAGUGCCAGGUCUGGGAGCAGUGCUGCUCCACAGCCCUACACGGGGGCCUCUGAAAGAUACUGAGGAGAGAAAACGCGUUCGGGGGGCAGACGUCUGGGUGAUGACAAGCUAAUGCUGUUUUGUGUGUGGAAAGAAAACAGGUUAGAUGUGAAGAUGUACACGGCCCCGGAGACGGCACAGAUGCCCUGCCGAGACGGUCAGGGGACUAGAAGGAGCAGAACUGACUGGGAGGAAACAGGCCAUCAGGGAGGAGAAGUGUGUAUGACUGGGGGCAACGCACCUGGGUCUGUGAAUGAGAUGAUAACGUCCCCUGCAGAGCCCCACUGCAGACAAGGUCCUUAGUAACCAAGGGGACAGGACGGCUCCUCCAGUGCACAUCAGCCAGCCUCUGCCCUCCGUGUUCACAUGGGCCUCUGAAGGAUGGCCGUGGUGGCUGAGACGCAGGCUGGUCACACGCCUGGAAUCACGGCCUGACCACCUUUCACUGAGUGACCCCACCAGACUCCGCAGGAGGCCCACCGUGUCAGCCGUGGAAAUGCACACUGAGUCCUUAAUGUUGUGUCAUUCCUCCUGGAAGCAGAUCAGACAUGUGGUUGUGGGUGGAUUUCGUCCCUGGUGGGUGCCGCGGGCACUGACUGGGCCCGACCAGCACGUGCCUGUGUGCAUACCGAGGCACAGGAUGCACCCCCAUUAAGUGUGCAGUUUGAUCAGCUUUGGCCAGUGUAGAGAUGCAUGUAGCAACUGUCACACAGUCAGCAUGUAAAAAACUGCCAUCACUCCUGAAGCUCCAGGGUGACCCUGUAGUCAGCCUCUCGUGCUUACUGCUCAUUUAUGUAUCUCCUCUUGAUAAAUGUCUGUUCAAAUUGUUUUGUUUGUGUGGGAAGGUUUUAUUAUUAUUUAUUUGUAGGAGUCCUUACUUAUCCCACACACAAACGCUUUAUCCCGCACACAUACUAUAUGUAUACAAAACCCAUUUCUCCUCUUGUGGAGGCUUGUUUCUUCCGUUACAUAACACCGCCUUUUGAAGAGCAAGUUUUUAAUUUCGUAAAUCCAACGAGUCUUUUUUGGUUAUUGUUUGGCCUUUUUGUAACUUUCUUGAGAAACGUGUGUCUAAUCCAAGGUUGUUAAGACUUUCUUUCAUGUUUUCUUUGAGGUGCUUCAUGGUUUUGACUGUUGCAGUUGGAUCUAUGGUCCGUUUCACGUGACUCAUUCCGUCUGGUGUGAGGUAGUGAAGGUGAAUUUUUCUCCAAAUAGAUAUCCA